CUGCCAGUGAUAAACUGGAGGAAGGUGGGGAUGACGUCAAGUCAUCAUGGCCCUUACGAGUAGGGCUACACACGUGCUACAAUGGCGCAUACAAAGAGAAGCGACCUCGCGAGAGCAAGCGGACCUCAUAAAGUGCGUCGUAGUCCGGAUUGGAGUCUGCAACUCGACUCCAUGAAGUCGGAAUCGCUAGUAAUCGUAGAUCAGAAUGCUACGGUGAAUACGUUCCCGGGCCUUGUACACACCGCCCGUCACACCAUGGGAGUGGGUUGCAAAAGAAGUAGGUAGCUUAACCUUCGGGAGGGCGCUUACCACUUUGUGAUUCAUGACUGGGGUGAAGUCGUAACAAGGUAACCGUAGGGGAACCUGCGGUUGGAUCACCUCCUU
rnacentral:rRNA from 2 species